GGCAUUCAGUGCUGCGCUGAGGGGAAGCACCUGUGUUUAUCACCCCGAGCUGCUGUGAAAUGAGGAAUGCCAGCCUUGGUGAGUAGAGGCAGGGGGAGCAGCAUCUAGGAGUGUCAUGCUAAGCUCCUGAUCUGCAGUUCUGUAAGAGAAAAUUUGACUGGAGCGAGAAGGAACAGCAGUUUCUGCAAGGAGAUGAUGGCUGGCAAUGAAGUUCUUCCCUGGAAGACGCAGCUGAAUGUGAGUGAAAAUGGCUCCAGCAUCAGAGGAAGUACCCUGCCACAUCCUUCCAAAGCUUAAAACAAGGGAAAAGAAAUAGAAAAUGCCAUGUAUCCCACCUUCCUCAUGCUGCUGGUGGAGGCAGCGGUAGCCCUGUUUCCUCCCAGCUCCCCUCCCCAUUUGUGGCUCCUGCACAGUGGCUUUCAGUUGCUGCAGGGGAGCUGCGGAGCUCCCUAAAGACCGAGAGCACUCCUCUUUCUCCUUGGCUUUACCCCAGCCAACCUUCAGUGACUUCACAGGAGUUAUUUCUUAUUUAUGUUAGUGUAAGUGAAGGGUUCAGCUGCAAAAAUGCUUUUUUUGAGCCUCCCAAAGAAAAGUUUUUAGUGAGUUGCUCACCACGUGCUUUCUACUGCUGGACUGAUGAUUUGUACAAAGAGGAGCCUGGGAGGAGGGGAAGACUGUACAAGACUAUAUUAUAUUUCUUAAAUGCCCCCUCCCUCCUCACAGUGCACAGAGCACUGAUCCUCUGCCAUCCCUGUGGUGUGUGAUGUUUGACUCCACGUCUUGUAGUGCACAUACGUCUUGCAGAGUGGGCCUGGGAAGUGCCGAAUGCAUUGGAGGUCGUGGACUACCUAGGAGGAGUUCUGUCUGUCUGGAGACCUGCACAGCCCCCCUCCUUGCAUAUUCCUACUUAACCCAUCUUUGGUUUGUUUUACCUCCCAGGAGAGGAGCCCAGCCCUGCUAUUUCUCUGGCGCCACCCUUGCAAGUUGGCUGAACUGUGUAUAUUUUUUACGUGUGUGUGUGUGUGUGUGUAUGUAUUAGUUCUGGGUAAGCA